rnacentral:rRNA from 1 species
GAUGAACGCUGGCGGCGUGCCUAAUACAUGCAAGUCGAGCGAACAGACGAGGAGCUUGCUCCUCUGAUGUUAGCGGCGGACGGGUGAGUAACACGUGGAUAACCUACCUAUAAGACUGGGAUAACUUCGGGAAACCGGAGCUAAUACCGGAUAAUAUAUUGAACCGCAUGGUUCAAUAGUGAAAGACGGUCUUGCUGUCACUUAUAGAUGGAUCCGCGCUGCAUUAGCUAGUUGGUAAGGUAACGGCUUACCAAGGCAACGAUGCAUAGCCGACCUGAGAGGGUGAUCGGCCACACUGGAACUGAGACACGGUCCAGACUCCUACGGGAGGCAGCAGUAGGGAAUCUUCCGCAAUGGGCGAAAGCCUGACGGAGCAACGCCGCGUGAGUGAUGAAGGUCUUCGGAUCGUAAAACUCUGUUAUUAGGGAAGAACAAAUGUGUAAGUAACUAUGCACGUCUUGACGGUACCUAAUCAGAAAGCCACGGCUAACUACGUG